CUCAUCACAGCCGCAGGCCACAGGGGGUUUGGUGGAGAAGUCUGAGGAGGAGCAGAUUCUUCGCUCUCUUGCUCGCUGACGGCUGUAGGAUCUCGGGAGGGGCCCGGCGUGCGGAGGAUAGGGGGGCCCAGGAAGGAGGAAUUAGGCGGGAUGACUCAUUCGUCACCCUGCUUCCUUUAGACCUGCGAUAGAGUCACCCAGGAUCAGGGGGCGUGAGAACCUCCUCCCCGCCGCCGGUGGGCUGGCAGAGGGGGCGGAUGCUUCUCGUCGGCCUGGAGCGUUUGGCGACACCCUGGGCGAGAGCUGCGCAGCUCAGGAAGCCCCUUCUCCGCUGCCGGCCCCCACCCCGGCCGCUGAAGCCGGAGCCUGGAGCGCCCCCACCUGGAGCCUGACGGCGCUGGCGGGAGCCGUGGCGAGAGCCUCUAAGCCUCCUUCUGCUUCGUCCAAGGCCCCCGUGUCCAAAGGGGGGUUAAUAAUAGCGACUUCCUGGCGUGCGUGGCCUGAGAUUUAGCGAGACAUCGCUAGAGACGACACUAUCUGCAAAACUGUUGAUAUGGUGAUGGGGAAGAAAAGAAAGGAAAAUCAUUGAAUCAAGUGACAUGCUAAAGUAGUAAUUUAUUUGAAAUAGUACAUGGCUGACUUUUGCUGAGUGAUUCAUGCUGUCGUGAUAAAACUUAUUUCCAAAUUCUAAGAAAAUUUUCCAAACUUCCAUCUCCCAGAAAAGGCAUAGACUUUCUUCAAGCGUGGUUGGGAUGUCAUCUGUACUUUGCAGGACACAUCUAAUUUAUGGGUCCCAAGAGAAUUUGCUUACACCAAGUAGUUAAUUACUGAGGAACUGUUAGCAAGAAGUGUCACUACAAUUGUAAGUUACCAUCUUUUCUUGAUUUUUGUAUGCAAUUGGCUGCAAAUCACAGUGACUGUGGGCCCAGGAAGUGAGGAAUUGAGUUUGGACUUCAUCAAAGCAUGCACUAUCUAUGGUGAGAGGCCUGCUUCUUAGCAGAGAGUUUGUGCUUAGUUCAAAGGAAAGGAUGUUUCUCAGGGGAAGGCUGGUGGUGCAAUAGUGUUGGCUAUGCAGACCUCUACACAAUAUAGAUUCACUGCAGAGUAGAUUCCUGUACAGUCAGUAUGCAAAGUUCUGAACUAUUAUGAAGUAUCUUGCAGGGAUUUGUUAGAUCUAUUUUUCAAGACUUAGCUAAAUACUCGCUCCUAGGAGAGCUCUUAAAAUAAAUGUCAUUUACUGAGAAUUCACCCUCUUCCAGGCUGCGAGUUUGUUUAUUUAUAUGCAUUACUUGGCCCAGUUCCCUGUAAUAAGAAUCAUCAUUCUGCAGGUUAAUAACUUGAGGAUAAGAAAAGACACUUGAGUAAGUACUCAAGGUCAGAUAUUGGUGACUCGGGUUUGAAUUCAGGCAUAUGGAAGUUUGUUCCUUGGUUCAUUCAUUCGUUGAGUGAAUAUGGAGUUCAAUGGUGUCAGUUUCUCUGUGUGACAAAUAGCCCAAAUGGUCAUUGUUAACUUCUAUGAUAUUCUGCUGUAUAGUCUCUGAGAUUUUAUUAUUUUUCCCACAUUCAUUUCUCUAAAAUGUUUCAGUAGGCAUUUGAAGAUUUCCCUUAUAAUGUACUACUUGGCUAUGGUGUCUGUACUUUAAACUCAUCAGUGAGGUAUCUUUAAAGGGGAAUGUGUAUCUGAAUGUAAUCAAUGAUAUUAUACACAUGCUAUCCCAUUGGGAAAAUAUCUUCUGUUAUCCAGCUGGUGUUUGGUCUAUGCCCUGAAGCUUGAGAAUGGAUAGCUCUGUAAUUUGACCAUUCCUGCUGUGAUUCAGAUGUUCUCAUUUGGGUAAAAUGCCUGAUUAUCCUCUGAGACUUGGUGUUUUUUCAGCAGUAAGUUGAACAAAUUUAAAAUACACCAGCAGCUUUUCCAUUUUGUAAAAAAUCUUAAUGUUUUCCAGUGAAAACACUGUUAUUGACAUAAUGGUCUCUGAACCUGAAGAAUGAACAUGAAGAGAGGAUUCUCAUUCUUAUCUCUCUACAUUGUCUCCUAACCCCAUCUCUUCUUUUUUGUAGGGGGUAAAGUCAAAGCAAAGAGUUGAUCAUAGGCUGACAAUUUAAAAUUCUCUGACCUACACUCACAAAUACUUUUUACUUGCUUAGUGAUUAAGGAUAUUACUGAAUGUGCUUUGUGAAAAUUGAGUCAUUUGAAAACUGUUAGGUGUGAUGUUUCUAUUUUUAAAAGAAACUAUGAAGAAACUUCUUUCUGUGGCAUAAUUUAGCCCGUUAAUUU